rnacentral:snoRNA from 14 species
UCAGAGGAUUUCUCCAGUUGUUAGAAAUGCCUCAUACAGUAAUUUGUGGUUUUCCUUGCUCGUGGGGCUGUUUCUUGGGCCUGUGGGAAACCACGAGACAGUU